AGCAAAGAUUUCUCACCAGCAAACAACCAGGGGAAUCUGCAAAGCCCUUGAUGCGGAUGGAUGCGGUAAAGGACUCUUCCUUGGGCAAGAUGUUAGAUGUACAAAUGGAGAAAUGAGAGUGAGCAGCAACAUGUAAGCCUUUAUCUCCCUCUGUUUCUGGAUUUGUAGAUGCACCGUGACCAGAUGCUUCAAGAAUCUGUUGCUUUGACUUGUAUGCCCAAUGACUGUACCUUGAACUGUAAUUCAAAUAAAUCAUUUCUCCCUUAAA